rnacentral:rRNA from 1 species
CCUACGGGAGGCAGCAGUGAGGAAUAUUGGUCAAUGGACGAGAGUCUGAACCAGCCAAGUAGCGUGAAGGAUGACUGCCCUAUGGGUUGUAAACUUCUUUUAUAAAGGAAUAAAACGAGGCACGUGUGCCUUUUUGCAUGUACUUUAUGAAUAAGGAUCGGCUAACUCCGUGCCAGCAGCCGGGGUAAUACGGAGGAUCCGAGCGUUAUCCGGAUUUAUUGGGUUUAAAGGGAGCGUAGAUGGGUUGUUAAGUCAGUUGUGAAAGUUUGCGGCUCAACCGUAAAAUUGCAAUUGAUACUGGCAGUCGUGAGUACAGUUGAGGUAGGCGGAAUUCGUGGUGUAGCGGUGAAAUGCUUAGAUAUCACGAAGAACCCCGAUUGCGAAGGCAGCUUACUAAACUGUGACUGACAUUGAUGCUCGAAAGUGUGGGUAUCAAACAGGAUUAGAUACCCUGGUAGUC